CUCCUCCGGCUGAUUGGAGCCGGGGAAGGACCGUUGGGGUCAACUGC
rnacentral:sRNA from 12 species